CCUGACGGUAGUCGUAUGCUCGUCUCCGAGACUAAGCCAUGCAAGUCCAAGUACACGUCCUUGAACGACGGAAACUGCGAACGGCUCAUUAAAUCAGUUGCGAUCUACUCGGCGUUCCGCGCCGCCGGAUAACCGUAGUAAUUCUAGGGCUAAUACGUGCGAAGCGCCCGAAGCCGCGAGGCGACGGGCGUUCUCGCCGGAUGUAGGAACCGACCCGGGGACCGCCGGGGCAACCCGGCGCCCCCGAGACGGGGCGAACCACGGUGAAAUGACGGAUCGUCGGCCCCGCGCCGGCGACUCGCCGAAUGAGUUUCUGACCUAUCAACUCGAGACGGCGGGGUAGAGGCCCGCCGCGGUAACGACGGGUAACGGGGAAUCAGGGUUCGAUUCCGGAGAGGGAGCCCGAGAACGGCUACCACUUCCAAGGAAGGCAGCAGGCGCGCAACUUACCCUAAUCUCGAUUCGAGGAGGU
rnacentral:rRNA from 1 species